rnacentral:rRNA from 1 species
UGUCGUAACAAGGUAGCCGUAGGGGAACCUGCGGCUGGAUCACCUCCUUAACGAAAGAUUGAC